GUGGGGAAUUUUGGACAAUGGGCGCAAGCCUGAUCCUGCAAUGCCGCGUGCAGGAAGAAGGCCUUCGGGUUGUAAACUGCUUUUGUACGGAACGAAACGGUCCGGGUUAAUACCCUGGGCUAAUGACGGUACCGUAAGAAUAAGCACCGGCUAACUACGUGCCAGCAGCCGCGGUAAUACGUAGGGUGCAAGCGUUAAUCGGAAUUACUGGGCGUAAAGCGUGCGCAGGCGGUUUUGUAAGACAGGCGUGAAAUCCCCGGGCUCAACCUGGGAAUUGCGCUUGUGACUGCAAGGCUGGAGUGCGGCAGAGGGGGAUGGAAUUCCGCGUGUAGCAGUGAAAUGCGUAGAUAUGCGGAGGAACACCGAUGGCGAAGGCAAUCCCCUGGGCCUGCACUGACACUCAUGCACGAAAGCGUGGGGAGCAAACAGGAUUAGAUACCCGGGUAGUCC
rnacentral:rRNA from 1 species